CAGCGUUAUUGGAGAUUUACUGGGCCGUAAACCGCGUGCAGGCGGUUUGGUAAGUUGGGCGUGAAAGCUCCUUGAAAAAAAAGAAAGAGGCGUCCAAAACUACCAGACUACCUUUCCAUAAAAAGAAAACGGAAUUCCCGGUGUAGUGGUGAAAUGCGUAGAUAUCGGGAGGAACACCAGUGGCUUUCUUCUAUUUACUGGAUCGUUUCUGACGCUCAGACGCGAAAGCUAGGGUAGCAAACGGGAUUAGAGACCCCGGUAGUCCUAGCUGUAAACGAUGUGAACUUGGCGUUGGUGGGUUAAACUCCAUCAGUGCCGUAGCUAACGCGAUAAGUUCACCGCCUGGGGACUACGGCCGCAAGGUUAAAACUCAUAGGAAUUGACGGGGGCCCGCACAAGCAGCGGAGCGUGUGGUUUAUUUUUUUUUUUUACGAAGAACCUUACCCGGGCUUGACAUGUCGAUGAUCGACUGCAAAAGCAUUG
rnacentral:rRNA from 1 species